CAACCACACGUGUGACCUUCUUUUUCAGAUUUUAUAUUUUAAUUUUUUUCUUCUCUUUCACACCGUUCUCUCUUUCACGUAAAAAUUAAAGAAAUUCAUCUCCAUCUCAGCUCCAUCUCCAUCUCUGGAAAUCGUCAUCUCCAUCAAAGCUCAAGCUUCUCCCUCUCUGUAAAAUUCCUUCUCCCUCUUUGCGACAAAACCCUAACACAAUCGUCCCCUUUCUUCGACGAAAUCAGAAAUACGUUGAACUCAUUCAUCCGAUUCAAGGUUGGUUCAUGGAAUGCAGUGCUUAGAUCAAUCGACUUUUGAUCAACAUGACAAGUGAUUGAUAUCAUCAUUGAGUAGUAAAGGCUCAACUCACGUCAUGAAAUCAAAGAAGUUCCAGCUCUUGCACCAAUUUUUGAACAAUUCUCAUGUUAUGUCUAUUGGGUUAUCAUCACCAUUGUUGCAAUUGGAUCCAAUUUAUGAGAAGCUGUUUGGAACUUGAAUGGUACCACGAUUCAAACUAAUGGUGUAAAGAAGUUAAUUGAUGAUUGGUUAUUUGAAAUGAUGUUUGUAAAGUUGGCACCGUUUGCAAGUAACCAAGAUGAAUAUAGAGACCAAUUCAGUUUUGUAGACUGUAGUGAUAUGGUUUCAGAACUUGUGGUUACUGGAAUAUAAAGAGUUUGUUUUGUUGAGAGUUGUAUUUUGAAGAUAUACUACUAGAGCUUGGUAUUGCCGAGAGCUGCAGCUAAGUUGGUGGAGCGGUCCAUUAUUCUGAACCCUGGUCUAUGCUUUUGAAUAUUUGAGUUGCAAAUUUUGUUUUUAGAGCAACAAGAGCAUUGUGUAAUACUAUUGUAUAUGUAGAUAUGUAAUUUUUAAGUAUUUGAUCAUGUAGUUUCCAUGUUUUCGAAUAUUAUAAAAUCAUAAUAAAAUUCUAUGGA